rnacentral:rRNA from 1 species
AUUGAACGCUGGCGGCAGGCCUAACACAUGCAAGUCGAGCGGAUGAGUGGAGCUUGCUCCAUGAUUCAGCGGCGGACGGGUGAGUAAUGCCUAGGAAUCUGCCUGGUAGUGGGGGACAACGUUUCGAAAGGAACGCUAAUACCGCAUACGUCCUACGGGAGAAAGCAGGGGACCUUCGGGCCUUGCGCUAUCAGAUGAGCCUAGGUCGGAUUAGCUAGUAGGUGAGGUAAUGGCUCACCUAGGCGACGAUCCGUAACUGGUCUGAGAGGAUGAUCAGUCACACUGGAACUGAGACACGGUCCAGACUCCUACGGGAGGCAGCAGUGGGGAAUAUUGGACAAUGGGCGAAAGCCUGAUCCAGCCAUGCCGCGUGUGUGAAGAAGGUCUUCGGAUUGUAAAGCACUUUAAGUUGGGAGGAAGGGUAGGUAACCUAAUACGUUGCUACUUUGACGUUACCGACAGAAUAAGCACCGGCUAACUUCGUGCCAG